AGUGAACGCUGGCGGUAGGCCUAACACAUGCAAGUCGAACGGCAGCACAGUAAGAGCUUGCUCUUACGGGUGGCGAGUGGCGGACGGGUGAGGAAUACAUCGGAAUCUACUUUUUCGUGGGGGAUAACGUAGGUAAACUUACGCUAAUACCUCAUACGACCUACGGGUGAAAGCAGGGGAUCUUCGGACCUUUCGCGAUUGAAUGAGCCGAUGUCGGAUUAGCUAGUUGGCGGGGUAAAGGCCCACCAAGGCGACGAUCCGUAGCUGGUCUGAGAGGAUGAUCAGCCACACUGGAACUGAGACACGGUCCAGACACCUACGGGAGGCAGCAGUGGGGAAUAUUGGACAAUGGGCGCAAGCCUGAUCCAACAAUACCGCGUGGGUGAAGAAGGCCUUCGGGUUGUAAAGCCCUUUUGUUGGGAAAGAAAAGCAGCAGGUUAAUACCCCGCUGUUCUGACGGUACCAAAAGAAUAAGCACCGGCUAACUUCGUG
rnacentral:rRNA from 1 species